CAGCAGUAGUCAGCGCCACUCUGCAACGGCACAUGUGGCUUCCCACAAAGUCAUUUUCUGCAUCCUGGCCUUACUUGCAAACGGAAAAGGAAUUGGAUGUAAACAAUGAUGUGGUGGCCAUCACACCAGUGCAGGAGGGUUUGGCAGAGCUGUCCACUGAUGUCUGCAACUGCUUUGAAUGCAUUAAGGAAGGACAUGGCUGGGAGCACCGACGCACUGUUAGACAGGAGAUGAAAGCAAGUGUUUCGAAAGUGUUGCUGGGCCUGAACUCUUGGAUCCAACACGCUGAAUCAGAAGCUCAAAGCUAGAGUUACCUCUUGGAGACAACAUGUGGCAUUUGUCCUUCUGGGCCCAGAUGACCUCAUUCAGUAUAUAUUUUUCAGUCUCAUCCAUUUACUUGCAUAUUUUUGUAAUUUCAUUUUUUUUCCUGAAUAAAAUUACAUUGUAAAUAGGUGCCAUAUUUUAAUUAUCUAUUCCUCAGUUUUAUUUCCUGGCUAAAGUGACUAGAGCAAAAGGUGUUUUUAUAUUGUUAUUAGAUAGAGAACAAUUCAAGAUAAAAAGUAUUGGAAGGGUUAAAAAGUGCUAAUACAUGUUGAUGGACUAUUUAAUCAAACCAUUGGAAACAACAGAACAGAACCUUCAGAAACCCAACAGUAAGGGCACAUGAAGCAAAUGUUCCCCAAUGUUGACAUGUAUGAGGCCCCACUGAAAGUCUCAGAGCCUGAUCAAUACAGAUCUCUGCUUAUAUAGAGACCAUGGCCCCAUAAAACACCCAGUCUUAUCCUUAAGUAAUAGGAAGAAAGGGUCACCAAAGACAAAUACCCUGACUAGCAUUAUAAAACUUGGUGAACUUGAACUUGAAUUUGGUUUUUAAGACAGAGUCUUUCUACAUAGUAGUUAUAGGAGUUUUGGAACUCCCUUUGUAAACUAGGCUGAUCUCAAAUGCUCAGAGAUCCUCCUGCCUCUACCUCCUUAGUGCUAGGAUUAAAGUUGUGCACCACCAUACCUGGCUUACACUUACAUUAAUAAUAGGAAGAAAAACAAAACAAAACAAAACAUAACAAAACCAAAUCAAACCAAACUCAUAGUUGUAUGGAAGUUUGCUCAGAGAUUUGGAUGUUUAUAUUAGUAUCAUAAAGACCUAAAAGUAUUCUUCGUCCUUAAAACAUCCCCUGCCUUGCUUGAGACAUAGAUUAACUCUCACUCUGUAGAUGAGGCUGCUCUUGAACAUGAUAAGCAAUCCCCGUCUCAGACUCCCAAGUGCUGGGAAUAGAGGCAUGUGCUAGCAUGUCCAACAGAAGUAGCCUAUCUUUAUUUUAAUGAAUGAACAAACGAACGAAUGAAUUUUUGAGACAGAGUCCUUCUGUGGCAGCCCAGGCUGGCCUUGCAUCUGUAGUCCUUGGCUUGUCUUAGCCUUGAGGCUGGCACUAGAGGUAUGGACCACCCUGCAACUGCCCAAAUUGUCUGUCUUUAAAUUUAGCAUGUGGUUUAAGAAGAGAUUCUUUUAGGUCACCCAUUUAUUUAUAGUAUAUUGUCACACACAAACAUGCAUACUGAAUCAUUGCACUGCGUCACAAAUAUGCAGAAACACACCGUCCCUAGUUCCUUCUCACUUCCCAAUUCUCUGUAUCACAAGGUGAGCGCCUCUGUGUGGCCACACCCUUCUAGCCACUGUGCUCUGCCUCACUCUUUGUGCCAGUCUACCAUGGACCAGAGCCUCUGAAACUCUCAGCCAAAGUAAAGCUUUCCUCCUUGAAGCUGUUUGUCUUCAGGUAUCUCAUACAGGGAGAAAAACAAACACAAAACUGAUGGACAUCCCCGGCAGUGCGUUUCUAGGCAACUCACCUAAUGACUUUAACCCUCAGUUUUCUCCCUGUAAAACACAGGUAACACCACCACCUUCCUUUAAAGUUAUUCUAUCUAGGGCUUUGUUUUGGGAAUUGAAUGUGAUGAUGCAUUGAAAACCUUAGUAGAGUUUAUGAUAAUAAUGUUAGUGGCUGCAGCAUUUGUUGCUACUGUAACUGUUGGAAUAAUGGUGUAUAUUGUGGGCACUGCAGACACGCAGAAGGCCCUCUCUGCAUCUUUAGCAGAGCAAGCAUCAGGUGUAGGAGCAGAAUCCGAGUUUGUUCCCAGUUACAGCUCACAAUCCUCUGAUAUAAUGUAUGGACCAAUCACCAGAAUGUGUCGAUUAGAAUCUCAUUGAUGGAAGAAGUCAUGGGUGAUAAUUUGUUUCCCUUCAUUUAAGCAGCUUUCCCUGGUGGUCUUAAAAAAAUAAAUGCUUUGUUUUCUGGU